GCCUGGGUGCCUCAGUCGGUUGAGCGUCCGACUUCGGCUCAGGUCAUGAUCUCGCAGUUUGUGGGUUCAAGCCCCACAUCAGGCU
rnacentral:tRNA from 1 species